GCCGGCUUAGCUCAAUUAGGUAGAGCAACUGACUUGUAAUCAGUAGGUUGUCAGUUCAAUUCCGACAGCCGGCA
rnacentral:tRNA from 1 species